rnacentral:rRNA from 1 species
UACGAAGGGGGCUAGCGUUGCUCGGAUUGACUGGGCGUAAAGGGCGCGUAGGCGGUUUGCAUAGUCAGACGUGAAAUUCCUGGGCUUAACCUGGGGGCUGCGUUUGAUACAUGCAGGCUUGAGUUCGGAAGAGGGUCGUGGAAUUCCCAGUGUAGAGGUGAAAUUCGUAGAUAUUGGGAAGAACACCGGUGGCGAAGGCGGCGACCUGGCUCGUAACUGACGCUCAUGCACGACAGCGUGGGGAUCAAACAGG